AGCUCCAUUUCCUGUUUACCGUGGUGUUGACGCCAUUACGUCAGUAGCGUCUGUGUGCGGACCAAUGAAAGUCUUGCAGGCUUGCCGCAGACAGACGCUCUUGGAGAAGGCAGCAGCUGCAGGAGCUUAUCUGUAACAAGAGAGAAUCACACAAACAAGUCCAAGAUCUACUGCAGAAGAUUGAAGGAAUGAUGACGGAGAACGGAGGGACAUUUAUGAUGAAACAAAUGAAGAGGAGCAACAGCAUGGUCAGCAUUGUCAAUUUUUCUGGAGAGAAUCCGGCUGAAGAUCCAGAGAUUGAUGUGAAGAAAGACCAAAGAACCGGAUCUAGAAAGACUGGCACAAUGAUCACUAUUAUGUUAAAAAGUGACGUAUCUGGAACAGGAAAACACUUUCAGGAGAUUCAUAAGACAUAUAUAAGCAAUAUGCAUCAGAAGAAACAGGAGCAUCAGUCAGAAAAUAUACUUAUAUAUAAAUAUAUAAAAGGGCUGUCAGUCAAUACAAAAUUUAAAUCUAAUGAAUUACAUGGUGUGGCGAUUAAUUAAUCUAAAUAAACUGAAUUUAAUCAAAACAAAUUGGGCUGUAAAAAUACCCACAAAAGAUUAUUUAAAUCUAUUAUUGUGUUAAAUGAGAAAGUAGACAUUAUAAUAGUGUUUUAUUUGGUUCAACAUAAAAUUCAUCACAAUAAACGUUUAGGCUACAAUGGCCUAAGAUUAUAUGGAACAUAAAAGAAGAUAAUUUGAGCAA